GACGAACGCUGGCGGCGUGCUUAACACAUGCAAGUCGAACGAUGAAGCCGGAGCUUGCUCUGGUGAAUUAGUGGCGAACGGGUGAGUAACACGUGAGUAACCUGCCCUUGACUCUGGGAUAACUGCGGGAAACUGUAGCUAAUACCGGAUACGACCCUCGGAGGCAUCUCCUGGGGGUGGAAAGAAUUUCGGUCAAGGAUGGACUCGCGGCCUAUCAGCUAGUUGGUGAGGUAAAGGCACACGAAGGCGACGACGGGUAGCCGGCCUGAGAGGGUGACCGGCCACACUGGGACUGAGACACGGCCAGACUCCUACGGGAGGCAGCAGUGGGGAAUAUUGCACAAUGGGCGAAAGGCUGAUGCAGCAACGCCGCGUGAGGGAUGACGGCCUUCGGGUUGUAAACCUCUUUUAGCAGGGAAGAAGCGAAAGUGACGGUACCUGCAGAAAAAGCACCGGCUAACUACGUGCCAGCCGCCGCAGUAA
rnacentral:rRNA from 1 species